GAUGAACGCUGGCUACAGGCUUAACACAUGCAAGUCGAGGGGAAACGACGGGGAAGCUUGCUUCCCCGGGCGUCGACCGGCGCACGGGUGAGUAACGCGUAUCCAACCUGCCUCUGACUGAGGGAUAACCCGUCGAAAGUCGGCCUAAUACCUCAUGGUAUCGUCUGCGGGCAUCUAACGACGAUUAAAGAUUUCAUCGGUCAGGGAUGGGGAUGCGUCUGAUUAGCUUGUUGGCGGGGUAACGGCCCACCAAGGCUACGAUCAGUAGGGGUUCUGAGAGGAAGGUCCCCCACAUUGGAACUGAGACACGGUCCAAACUCCUACGGGAGGCAGCAGUGAGGAAUAUUGGGCAAUGGGCGAGAGCCUGAACCAGCCAAGUAGCGUGCAGGAAGACGGCCCUAUGGGUUGUAAACUGCUUUUAUGCGGGGAGAAAGUGAGGGACGUGUCCCUCAUUGCAGGUACCGCAUGAAUAAGAACCGGCUAAUUCCGUG
rnacentral:rRNA from 1 species